AGAGAUAUUUCCUCCCCGUUUAACCCUUUCACUGACCUAUUUCCCAACCCUUUCAUUUAUCCCCAAAUCAACAAGAAAUCCCGUCAGAAGCGAACAGCGAGGAAAAUUCUUGGGAAUUUGUCAAUGAGAAACGUUGAGAUUAUUUUUAUCCCUCUUCGUCCGAAACCAAUUCCACCUUCCACGAUACAGUCCCAAUCCUUAAAAUCCCACAAAGUGCGGUGUCAUAGUGGACAACUUAUGUGAUUUCUUCUUUGUUGAUUUGUAAAAUCUUCUUACCCACGGCUUGCUAUGUCGUAGUGGGUUAAUUGAGGAAGGUAAAAUACUUUUAUACGUCUUUAUGCCUAAAUCUGAAUUUUAAUUACUUUUCACAGUGGACUGUUCUUGUGAUGUUGUUGUUAUAGUGUGGUUGAAUUUAGGCCUAAGACAUGGAAAAGUAAUUUGAUCUUCUUCACCAACUUAGGUCUGUACACUGAUUACGGAGUAUCUGCAAUGUCAUAGAGGUGGAAGAAAUGACUGAAAAAGAUAAAAUUCAUACUUUGCUGAAGUUGUAGUUUGAAUGUGUACAAUUGCUUGCGUAUGAAUUCAAUAUUCACUAUUGAGUAACGUGUUAUUUCAAUUCUAGUAUAUCAAAAUCAUAUAGUUAUGAACAUAUUUAUGGUACUUGUUUCUUAAUUUUGUUAUAACACUAAUCUAUUCCCACUCAUUUUGCCGUAGGAAAAGAAAUAGUAGAUAUGAUGGACGACGAAGUAUUGGUAGAAUCUAAUAAUGAGAACUUGUUGGACAAUGUAAUCACAAUGGAAGGUGAUAAUUUAGGAGGAGAUGUUGUGAAUUUUCUAAGGUGGGUAUGAAGUUUAACGAUGAAAAAGAGCUGUUUGAAUUCUACAAAAAAUAUGCCUACGACGUAGGUUUUUCGACGAGGAGAAGAAUUCUAGGAAGGAUGGGGAUGGAAUGGUAUGAUAUGUUACGCUGACUUGUAGUCAUGAGAGACGAAAAAGCUAUAACACAAGAACUUCUUUAAGGCCACAACCAACAAUUCAAACGGGUUGUAAAGCAAUGCUAAUUGCUUCCUCAGAUAUUCAUGAAAUAUGGAAAAAUUGCACAAUUGACCUUGAGCACAGUCAUAAAACAAGACCGUCAAAAUCUAGGUUGUAUCGUUACAACCGAGAAUUGAGUGCACAUGUGAAACGAAAGCUAGAGAUAAAUGAUACGGCCAGAAGAGUUACAACUAUGCAGUUGUUGAAGCCGGUGGAUAUAAGAAUGUGACGUUCAUAGAAAAUGAUUGUAGAAAUUACGUUGAACAAGUGAAGCGAUUAAAACUAGGUGAAGGAGAUGUCGUAGCAAUACAAUCGUACUUUUCACUAAUGCAAGCAUCUUGCUUUGGGUUUUAUUUUUCUAUGGAUUUAGACAACUAGUCACGACUUAAUAAUCUUUUCAGGGCGAACAAAAGGUAUAGGCAAGCGUCUAAGGAGUUCGAGGACGUAAUGUCGUUUGACCAAUAUUCAAACAUGGCAAUGCACAUCAAUAGGCGGUUGUGUCUUGUAAUGCAAGCACGUGAUGGUAGUAUGGAUUUGUAGUUAGAAGCUAUGUGUUUAUGUCGGGGUUGUAAAGAAGUAUGAUGCAUUUGUUUGUUACAUUAAUAAGCUGUGUGUUUCAGUUUGUUUGUCGGGUUUGGCAUUCAUUUAUGUUACUAGUUUUCAUUGUAUAAUGUUUUAUUUUAUACCCAUGAGUCCAUGAAUUUUUUUGUUUUUAUUUUGCCUCUAUGCUUACUAUGCACAAGAAUGACUUAAUUUUGAGUAAUG
rnacentral:lncRNA from 1 species